AAGUCAGUAAAGAUCUCUUACUAGUUGACUAAACACGUACCUAGUAUUCGACGAGGAGGCUAUAAAACAAAUAGCUGUUUUUUUCUUAAGCCCUUAGGCUAGCACAUUUGAACAGACAUCUAAAGCUGGCCGGGCCUUGAUUCCAAGAGGGAAUGCCAGAAGUACCACAGAGGAACCUGACUCUGAACAGCAGCAACAACAAAACAGCUUUCCACAUCCUUCCAUGGGCAAAAGGAGAAUUUGAGAGUUCCUGUACAACAUCCCUGUGAUGCCAAAAGGUAAGGAAAACCACGGCUGUAGAGCAAGGCCAAUGAGUGGCUUAUAAGAGGUUCCAAGUGAUCUACUCCUGAAGUAGUUUCCCAGGAUGCGGAAACUGUGAGAAGAAAACAUGGGGAGCAAAAACUCAAGGUAUCACAGUAACUCACGGUAGUUUGAGACUUCUCUUUGAAGAAUCUGGGUCCAAACAUGAUCAGUUAAUCUGACAGUGUUUUGUUUCUUCAAGUGACCAUCGCUUUAUUCAGAGGGCCAAAUUCCAUUGUGAAGUUCAGUACUGAAGCUCUCUGCACCUCGUUGAGACAGCUAUGGCUUGAAUUCCUGUCUUCCAUCAAUCAGCAUUACACAUUUUUUAUUAAUGAUGUUCUACAGAGGUUCUAAGUUUGUACAUUUAAAAAAUAAUAAUCUUUUUGCACAGAUAUAGAGGUGAAGCAAGAAGAAUCACUCUUCAUGUUUUAGAAGAAAAAAGGCCCACAUCUCUUACUUUCAAAGUAGGGAGCGCAUUUACAAAUUGAAAAUAAAUUACAACACACAAAAAUUUAGCAGGGUUAACAUGCCUGCCUGUGCUACGUUUCCAAUCUCCUUGACAACUCACGGUAAUCAGCAUUUUAGGUGGAGAUUCAAUAAAUACUGCUCCGUGUUGUUCUGAGGUUUAACUACUGCUUUGAAACAAACAUGAAACUCAAAUGAAAAUGUUUGCUCAGUUUCUGUUAUUGGUAUUCAAAAGAAUAUUAUGGCUGUGUGGUUCUGAGCUAAUUACCAGGUUUAAUUAUGUACCAUUUGGCUUCAGUUUUGCAUCCCUGAGCCUUAAAACACAUCUUGUUAACAUUCUUCUUUCCGUGGUUAUUGCAAUAGUGUCUGGUGUGCAUCAUUGCCAUUUAUGUGAGCGGUGUACUUGCUAGAAUAGGGACGCUUCCUCAGCCUAAGAUCUUAAUGAUCUUAUUCCAGAGUUCCUCAAAUCCCUUAUCCCGAGUUUGAACUUCAUGUAAGUGAUGUGAAGACCCUGUAUUGACCCCUGUGGAAUGAUUAAUUCAGCACUUCUUCCCAUGUGUUCUUAGUCAACCUUUUGCUCUUCCCAUUUAUUCAAUAAUUUAUUGACCAGACUGUUAACUGUGAAUAAUUAAAGGCAGUAAUAAACCUCCUGGAUAGUUGUGAGAUGGCUCGCAGAACAUUCAGGUCCAGUUUUAACUCACUCCCUCUCCCCCUUUUUGUUUUGUUUUUGUUUGUUUGAGAGCUCUCUGUGUAGGUGUGUCUUCCAUAUGUGAGGAGGAAAAAGAAAAUCUCCAUAUGAGAUUUUUAGUGUUUAGCAGCUCUGCUGUUAACACAAAAAUAAUUCCGAUACCUCGCCAGUUUUCAUGCUAGUUUAGUUGCAAAGAAAUUGCCACCAGCAUUAUGGCACAAAGAGGAGACCACGUUGUGGCCAAAACAAAGCAGGCACAAUCCCCCCACGCUUGUAAACGUGUCACGAUUUGGAAGUAUUGCAUUUAUCUGAACCCCAAAAGUAAAAGUAAAGACUUAAUUUUUUUUGGACAAAGGUGGUGAGGAGGAGCAAUAAUCAUCAUAGUGACUUUCUAAAUGAAGACAGCUGUAAUUAUAAGGCUGUUCUCAGCUGGUUUUAAUCAGAUCAGUUUUAUUGCGAUCCAUGAAACUCUGCAAGCUUUUGCUACUUGAA